rnacentral:lncRNA from 1 species
CUGGUUCAAGAACAAAUGAAACAAAAUCAAGUUGGGAAAGAAUGCUGCAAAUAUAUCGAUCUCACAUUCUGUCAAAGAUUAAUAAGAACAACAAAGCAACUCAAGUCACCCUCUAAAAACUGUUGAGAUGCAGCAGUCAGCGGAUGUCGCCAUAUUAACAAUUAAUUAGUUGAUGGACAAGGUUGUGUGAGAGGGAGGGCCUGUACGCAAAUCAGAUGUUGCAUCUUUAUGAACUACUAUAUCACACAUACUUGAUGAUUUACAUUACAAAAUGUAUUUCUUCCCUG